AUUCCUUGGGAACCGCUCGGGGCUGGGGGUGCUCAGCGGGCCCGGGGGGCUGUUCCCAGUGCCGCCGCGCGGGGUCGCUGUGGAGCCGAGGANCAGCUCUUGGGCCCGGCCGGGCCUCCCGUGGGCACAGGGAGCGGCCCUUGGGCCCGGCCGGGCCACCCGUGGGCACAGGGAGCGGCCCUUGGGCCCGGCCGGGCCACCCGUGGGCACAGGGAGCAGCGCAGCCUCGUCAGGCCUCAGAGUACACACAGAACCUCUCCAAUAGACAUGGGUGGAAUCCCGCUCGUUUGCCAGUCUCUGGUGGCCUCCGUGUGUUCUGCUGCAGAUAGCGAAGCGGAGCGCUGGCCUGGCAGCGUGCUGCAAAAUACGCGUCUAAACUUUGUGUUUAAAAUCAACAGCAACACAGAGGGGGAAAAAAACCCAGAAAACCCCGAACUAGGACUUACUGUGAUGCAACAGAUGGGUAUUUCCAGCAGAAAUCAAAAAGAGGAAAAGGGAACGCUCUCUCACAUAUGAUGAAACUCUAAUAUUAUCGAACCAGUUUUGCCACACAUAUCAUACAGGAAUGUGUGUGGGUUUUCCCCAUAAGAUCAAGAGCCUGAUAAUGUUUACUUGCUUUCAGGUUCCACCACAAACUAAGCCAAUCUUUCUCUGAAAGCCCCUAAACUGGCGAUUUAUCCAACUGUGGGCAAGACUGAACCAAGUUCUGAGGGGAAAGAGGAUUAUUCUUUAGUGUUUCAUUGUGAGUGGAGUUUUGGUGGUGGCAGUGAAAGAGGCUGAAAUAUUUAGUCUUAAUUUUACUUUGAAGUUUUGGAUUUUUCUUUUGUAAAGGAGUUGAAACUGAAUAUCUUCAGUAUUCUCCUUGCAAGGGAUUGCUCAGAGAAGACAUUUGAGCAGAGCUCUGGGUGCCAUCCAGUGGGCACCAGAAGUUUGUGGAUGAGGAUGGGAAGCCAUGAAGAAGUGCUGUCCCCUGAUGACUCAGAUAAGGCAUACCAGGAGACAUCUACAGUCAACAGUUUCCAGGUCUAAAUAUGUCAACAUCAGCCUUCCAUUGGAAUGUAUUUAUUGUAAACUCAUAGAAAAGGAUCUGUGCAGGUCAGAGUAAGGAAGUGAAGCCUCCGGGCUCAGACUUGGUUAUCUCUUAUGUGUGUCUUUAUCUCCAUCCCAUUUCAGAAAUACACACAGAAAUAAAAUCUGGAUUACAUGCUCUAAAAUGACCUUG
rnacentral:lncRNA from 1 species